CUUAGGAGCCAAUGAUGUUUUUAUUCAAUGUCUGAACCUGUCUGAAGCAUCCCAGUGAUGCGAACUGUGUUAUGCUGAGGCUUCUUUGCUG
ensembl:snoRNA Gm22771 small nucleolar RNA SNORD91 family